UAUCCUUAGAGAUAAGGAGUUCCUUCGGGACACGGGAUACAGGUGGUGCAUGGUUGUCGUCAGCUCGUGUCGUGAGAUGUUGGGUUAAGUCCCGCAACGAGCGCAACCCUUAUUACUAGUUGCCAUCAUUAAGUUGGGCACUCUAGUGAGACUGCCGGUGAUAAACCGGAGGAAGGUGGGGAUGACGUCAAAUCAUCAUGCCCCUUAUGACCUGGGCUACACACGUGCUACAAUGGAUGGUACAACGAGUCGCCAACCCGCGAGGGUGCGCUAAUCUCUUAAAACCAUUCUCAGUUCGGAUUGCAGGCUGCAACUCGCCUGCAUGAAGUCGGAAUCGCUAGUAAUCGCGGAUCAGCACGCCGCGGUGAAUACGUUCCCGGGCCUUGUACACACCGCCCGUCACACCACGGAAGUUGGGAGUACCCAAAGUAGGUUGCCUAACCGCAAGGAGGGCGCUUCCUAAGGUAAGACCGAUGACUGGGGUGAAGUCGUAACAAGGUAACCAAGGGCGAAUUCGCGGCC
rnacentral:rRNA from 1 species